AUUGAACGCUGGCGGCGUGCCUAACACAUGCAAGUCGAGCGGUAACAGGUGUAGCAAUACAUGCUGACGAGCGGCGAACGGGUGAGUAAUGCUUUGGAAUCUUCCCAGUAGUGGGGAAUAACCAGUCGAAAGAUUGGCUAAUACCGCAUACGUCUGUAAAGGGAAAGCGGGGGCUCGUAAGACCUCGCGCUAUUGAAUGAGCCAAAGUCGGAUUAGCUAGUUGGUGGGGUAAUGGCCUACCAAGGCGACAAUCCGUAGCUGGUCUGAGAGGACGACCAGCCACAC
rnacentral:rRNA from 1 species